UGCAAGUCGAGCGGGGAAAGGUAGCUUGCUACCUGACCUAGCGGCGGACGGGUGAGUAAUGCUUAGGAAUCUGCCUAUUAGUGGGGGACAACAUCUCGAAAGGGAUGCUAAUACCGCAUACGUCCUACGGGAGAAAGCAGGGGACCUUCGGGCCUUGCGCUAAUAGAUGAGCCUAAGUCGGAUUAGCUAGUUGGUGGGGUAAAGGCCUACCAAGGCGACGAUCUGUAGCGGGUCUGAGAGGAUGAUCCGCCACACUGGGACUGAGACACGGCCCAGACUCCUACGGGAGGCAGCAGUGGGGAAUAUUGGACAAUGGGGGGAACCCUGAUCCAGCCAUGCCGCGUGUGUGAAGAAGGCCUUUUGGUUGUAAAGCACUUUAAGCGAGGAGGAGGCUACCGAGAUUAAUACUCUUGGAUAGUGGACGUUACUCGCAGAAUAAGCACCGGCUAACUCUGUGCCAGCAGCCGCGGUAAUACAGAGGGUGCAAGCGUUAAUCGGAUUUACUGGGCGUAAAGCGCGCGUAGGUGGCCAAUUAAGUCAAAUGUGAAAUCCCCGAGCUUAACUUGGGAAUUGCAUUCGAUACUGGUUGGCUAGAGUAUGGGAGAGGAUGGUAGAAUUCCAGGUGUAGCGGUGAAAUGCGUAGAGAUCUGGAGGAAUACCGAUGGCGAAGGCAGCCAUCUGGCCUAAUACUGACACUGAGGUGCGAAAGCAUGGGGAGCAAACAGGAUUAGAUACCCUGGUAGUCCAUGCCGUAAACGAUGUCUACUAGCCGUUGGGGCCUUUGAGGCUUUAGUGGCGCAGCUAACGCGAUAAGUAGACCGCCUGGGGAGUACGGUCGCAAGACUAAAACUCAAAUGAAUUGACGGGGGCCCGCACAAGCGGUGGAGCAUGUGGUUUAAUUCGAUGCAACGC
rnacentral:rRNA from 1 species